rnacentral:rRNA from 1 species
GCCGUCUCUUUACGGAGGCCCUGUAUUGGAUGAGUACACUUUAAAUCCUUUAACAAGGACCUAUUGGAGGGCAAGUUCUGGUGCCAGCAGCCGCGGUAACUCCAGCUCCAAUAGCGUAUAUUAAUGUUGUUGCGGUUAAAACGUUCGUAGUUGAACUUGUGCUUCAUACGGGUAGUACAACUAUAAUUUUAGAUUGUGCUAUACCUUAUGUAUGUAAGCGUAUUACCGGUGGGGUUCUUAUAUGCAAAUGUAAUACUUGUAUUCUUUUGUAUAUUCCUCCUAUUUAAACCUGCCUCAAUGCUCUUCAUCGGGUGUUGUUGCGGGCCGGUACAAUUACUUUGAACAAAUUAGAGUGCUUAAAGCAGGCUCCAAAUGCCUGAAUAUUUUGUGCAUGGAAUAAUGGAAUAAGACCUCUGUUCUACUUUCAUUGGUUUUUAGAUCAAGAGGUAAUGAUUAAUAGAAGCAGUUUGGGGGCAUUAGUAUUACGACGCGAGAGGUGAAAUUCUUGGACCGUCGUAAGACUAACUUAAGCGAAAGCAUUUGCCAAAGAUGUUUUCAUUAAUCAAGAACGAAAGUUAGGGGAUCGAAGA